GCAUGCAGUCUACCUUGGCGGAUGUAGCAUAUGCACAAGGAAAGAAUGUGUAUUCUGAAACUGGUCGGGUGCAGUGUUCUAGAAUGUCAAUUAGGUCAUGGUGGUUAAUAGUAUUGUUCAGAACGUCUACGUCCUUGUUACUUUUUGUUGCUGUUGUUUGUUUUUGUCUAAUUAUUCUAUCAACUGCUGAGGGAAAGGUCCUGAAAUCUUCAACUGUGACUGUGGAUUUCCCUCUUUAAUUCUGUCACUAUUUCUUGAAGCUCUUGUUAGGUACAUUUUUCCAUGCAGCAUUGGUUUUCUGCGGCUGCUGUAACAAAUUACCACAAACUGAGUGGCUUAUAACAACACACACUUAUUAUCUUAGAGUUUUGUAAGAUGAUAGGAGGUCAGAAGCCCAACAUCAUCAGAAGUUCCACAUAGGUCUCUCUUGCUCACCUCUCUCAGCUUCUGGACACUGACUGCAUUGCUUUCUCAUAGCCCCUCUGUCCACUUUCAAAGCACGCAGCAGUGCUCCGACCCUUCUUCCACAGUGACAUCUCUUUCUGACCGCGGUGUGGACAGGUUCUCUACUUUUAAGGACUCGUGUGAUUAGACUGGACCCAAUGGAUAAUCCAAGAUAACCGCUCCAUCUCAAGGUCCACAACUUUAAUCACGUCUGCAGAGUCCUUUUUGCCAUGUGAGUGCACUGCAAGAAGGUGGCCAUCUGCAAGCCAGGAAGAGGGCCCUUGCCAGAAACUGAACUGCCUGGCGUCUUGAUCUCGGACUUCCCAGCCUCCAGAACUGUGAGAAAAUAAAUGUCUUGUUUAAACCACCUAGUCUAUGGUAUUUUGCUACAGCAGCCCAAGCAGACUAAUACACAUACCUUCUAAAAGUAUUUAGAAAACCUAUGUAUCUUGCAUUUUUUUUUUUUUUGAGACACGGUCUCCUGCUGUUGCCCAGGCUGGAGUGCAAUGGUGCAAUCUCUGCUCACUGCAACCUCUGCCUCCUGGGUUCAAGAGAUUCUCCUACCUCAGCCUCCCAAGUAGCUGGGGCUACAGGUGCACACCACCAUGCCUGGCUAAUUU
rnacentral:lncRNA from 10 species